rnacentral:rRNA from 1 species
GACGAACGCUGGCGGCGUGCUUAACACAUGCAAGUCGAACGAUGAAGCCGGAGCUUGCUCUGGUGAAUUAGUGGCGAACGGGUGAGUAACACGUGAGUAACCUGCCCUUGACUCUGGGAUAACUGCUAGAAAUGGUAGCUAAUACCGGAUACGACCCUCGGAGGCAUCUCCAGGGGGUGGAAAGAAUUUCGGUCAAGGAUGGACUCGCGGCCUAUCAGCUAGUUGGUGAGGUAACGGCUCACCAAGGCGACGACGGGUAGCCGGCCUGAGAGGGUGAACGGCCACACUGGGACUGAGACACGGCCCAGACUCCUACGGGAGGCAGCAGUGGGGAAUAUUGCACAAUGGGCGCAAGCCUGAUGCAGCAACGCCGCGUGAGGGAUGACGGCCUUCGGGUUGUAAACCUCUUUUAGUAGGGAAGAAGCGAAAGUGACGGUACCUGCAGAAAAAGCACCGGCUAGCUACGUGCCAGCCGCCGCAGUAA